rnacentral:rRNA from 1 species
AUUGAACGCUGGCGGCAGGCCUAACACAUGCAAGUCGAACGAGUGGCGGAAGGGUGAGUAAUGUCUGGGAAACUGCCCGAUGGAGGGGGAUAACUACCGGAAACGGUAGCUAAUACCGCAUACCAUCGGAUGUGCCCAGAUGGGAGUAGCGAGUGGGGGGGGUAACGGCUAACCUAGGCGACGAUCCCUAGCUGGUCGGAGAGGAUGACAGGCCACACUGGAACUGGACAACGGUCCAGACUCAUACGGGUGGCAGCAGUGGGAAAUAUUGCACAAGGGGGGCAAGCCUGAUACAGCCAUGCCGCGUGUAUGAAGAAGGCCUUCGGGUUGUAAAGUACUUUCAGCGAGGAGGCGUUACUCGCAGAAGAAGCAUCGGCUAACUCCGUGCCAGCAGCCGCGGUAAUUC